GUUCCAGUGGAUGAUGUUUCGCAGGCACCGGAUGCUCCUGGUGCAGCAGGGCGGGUGGAUGAUGGGAGCGAUAGGAGAGAGAGGAUGAGGGGUAGGCCACCUCCAUCACCCCAGCCCAGAUGUGUAGAUGAGGAAACUGAGGCACAGGGUGGGGCUGACUGGCCAAGUCACACAGGGAGGUGACAGCCAGGCUCUCCUAAUGCCCCAUGGAGCCCUUCCUGCCUGCAGCCCACCCAGACAUAAGCCCCAGGCAGAGCCUGGCACUCCAUGGAGCCUGUGCUCCAUGGACCAGGGCAGCUGGAUUCCUGGCGAUGCCCGCUUCCCCUGGGGGUGCCUUCUACUCCCUGCCAUUCCAGGAUGGACAGUCACAGGGGUCAGCCCUGCUCCCAGCCUCCAGCCCUGAUGCUCGGCUCCUGAUCCCAACCAUCCCCAUCCCCGGCUCUGCCACCUGCAUCCUUGGCGGUAGUGCUGGGGCCCAGGUACCUUCGAACCUGAAAUGGGGCACCACUCCAUGGAGCCCCCACCUCCAGGGCUCCAUCUGCCUGGUCACCCCAAUGGGUGCAGCCUGGCCUGGGUAUGGGUGACAUAAGACAAGUUUUGUCCCUCCCCACCAUUCCAGCAGCUACUGGGGAGAGGGCAGAGCGGCUCUGCCAGAGGUUCCCAGAGACCUGAGACUCUCAGAUAAGCCAGCCCCUGCCACCCUCUCCCAGCAACCCCCACCCCAACCUAGAGCUGCUCCUCUCACUUCUCCACCCUGCUUCUGCUCUAGGUCCUGGGGACAGGAGGAGGCAGUGCUGGGGUCUUCUCACCUGAGCCGCAGAAAGAGGACAAAGGCCACCAGGAGGGCCACCAGGGAGAUACAGUGGCCCAGGUAGUUGAUGAUGACUGCGACAUGGUAGUGCACCUUGCUUUUUUUCUGGAGCAGGAGAGAGGGGCAGAGAGCCACCAAGGAGCUACUGGCCACCAAGGAGCUACUCCAUAGGCCUUCCUGUUGGAAUUACAGAACCCACUUGAAACCAGAGAUCAAGUCCAGCCCUAUCCACCAGGCAUCCCAGGAGAAGCCAAGACCCUAUGCCCAGUUCCGCCCGGCCACCAAGGCCCUUCUGAAGGAGCACCCUCAUUGGGGAACCUCUCCAGAGGCUGCUACAGAAGCUCUGUUCUUGGAGCUGGUUUCCAGGCAGAGGCUUUCUGGAACAUGGCAGCUGCCCUUGGAGACUGCUCCUCUCAUCCCAGUUCUUUCCGUAGAAGAGACUGAAUAAUUGGCCACGCCACGCAGCCGGUAUCUGGAACCUGGGUCUGCCUGGCUUUAAGCUCCCUCUUUUCCCUGUUUCCCAGGGACAUUUCUUUUUUUGGGUGGGGGAGGGAUGGAGUCUCACUCUGUCGCCCAGUCUGGAGUGGUGCAGUGGCAGGAUCUCAGCUCACUGCAGCCUCUGCUUCCUGGGUUCAAGUGAUUCUCCUGCCUCAGCCUCCCGAGUAGCUGGGAUCACAGGCAUGCACCACCAUGCCCAGCUAAUAUUUUGUAUUUUUUGGUAGAGAUGGGGUUUUGCCAUGUUGCCCAGGCUGGUCUCGAACUCCUGAGCUCAGGCAAUCCACCUGUCUCGGCCUCCCAAAGUGCUGGGAUUACAGGCGUGAGCCACCGUGUCCGGCCCCCUGCGACAUUUCUUGGGGGACAAGCAGGAAUUGAAAGCAGAGGCACUCUCUGGGGUGGUCUCACGCCACUUUGGGCCCAGGAGCCUCGGGGGACCUCCUGCUGGGACAAUAGCGCCCAAGAGGGCUUUCCUCCAAGAGCCUGAGGGAGAAUCAGGCCAAACCAUUCCCGGGGGACAAAGUCUCAGUGUGCCUCCCUGAGCAGUCGGGCCUGGGCCGGGUUCAAGCCCUGUCUCUCAUCGGCCACAUCAGCAUCAUGCAACCUGAGAAGACAGCUGGAGAGACAGCCUGAGGGAUGGCUGCUGAUACCCUGAGACAAAUACAUCCUGCGACACCCAGACAGAAGCCAGUGACACUGUGACAUUUCCAAUAACAACCAGAGUUCUGGCCAGCAUUAUUUAGAGAGACAGCAAGGCCUUAAGAGGCACCCAGGAACACCCUGAGAGGUGGCCAGUGAUACCUGGAGAGGAGAGUCAGCAGCACCCCCAGGGACAGCCAGUGACACCCCGACCGAUGGCCACGAUAACAGCAAAGCAGCUGGGAUGUCCGAAGGACAAAUGGGCACAGCUACCCCUCGGGCCCUGACCAGCACUCCAUCUCCAUCCAGUCUGGAGACCUAAGACCAGCAGGCACCCCGCCCUAAGGAGGGUGGCACAGCGUGGUACUUGGCAGAGGCCACUCCGCUGUACCCUCAGUGAUCUGAAUUGAAUAAGCAAUUUGUGCCCGGCUGACUCUGACUGGACUCUCUGCAGGACACCACCUCGUCCCAGGCGCUGCAGUGCCAGAUCCGUCCUGAUGCCUCUCUGGGUUGGUGGCAAUGAGACCUCCCUUCCAAGCUCCCCACUGGUGCCCACUCCAUUCUGGCACGUCCUCUCCACCGAGGCUUCCAGAGCUACUCCUCUUACCCUGCAGUGGGCACUCACUCCAGCCCCUCGAUCCUCAAAGGGUGGCCCCUGGCCCAGCAACAGCACGCAGAGGAGCACGCAGAGAUCUUGAGGAAAGUGGAAUGUAUGCCCUACGCCAGGCCCAUGGAAUCGGAGCUUGGUUUUAGGAAAAAGCACCUCUGCAGUUCAGAAGCCCUGGUCCAACCACCACUCACCUCUCCCCACACGGUGAGCAGUGAACCUUGGUCCACAAACCAGACCCCCAGAAUCCGUUUCAUGUCCCACCACGGUGUGCUCUCCCAGGCUGUGCCUGAGGCCCAGGCUCCUGUGCGCAGCAGAACGUGGGGAAAGGGGAUAGAGUGUGUGCAAGUGUUGGGUGGGUGGGGGAAGGCUGGACGGUGGGGAAGGGAGUGAACAGUAGUAGCGGGAGGUGGUGGGGGGAGGAGAGGGUGCUGAUACAGGCAGCAGGUGUAGGGGUGGUGCUGGGGGCUCAGUGCCAUCCCCCGGCCAGCCAUGCAUGCAACAGUUGGGGGCCUGUCCCCUGGUGGUGCUGGCUGCGGGCAGAUCUCCUGGGGUGCCUGGCCUUGAGGUGCCCUUGCAAGUCCCAUUUCACAGGCAGACUUCUGCGAAUCCAUUAUCUGCGAUACCCCAGGGCGCUGGAGCUUAAUUAGGGCUUAGCCCAGGCCCAGAGCUGAGAAACCUACCACUCAAUUAAUUGGAUACUUUCCUCUGCAGUUCUGGGAGGGGUCUGGCGAGGCUGGGGGCUGGCAGAAGGGAAUGGCAUUUUCACUAAUUAAACUAAUCGAUUACCCAGAGUGCUAGGCACCAGGCCAGCAGGGGCUGCAGAGGAAAGAGAUGGCAGAGCCAGGCACGGAUGGGCUGGGGGGUGGGGCGGGUCACUCCCCCAGGUGUACACUACAACCUCCCCUGACCUCACAGGGGAGAUGAGAGACAGGGGGCGGCAGGUGAAUGGAACGUCUCCCAUAGGCCAAGACAGGCCAACACCACCCUUCCAUCCCCAGAAGGCAGAGAUCUGAAUUCCUGGCCACCAUUUUUGGGAACUUGGUGAGGUUAAGUUGCCUCCUCAAGGUCAUGCAGCAGGUUCCCGUUGAAACCCAAACCCUAAGGUCCGUGCUAUUCCCACUGCAAUGCAAAGAGGGGGCUGAUGAGACCGGGCUCCCGAUCCUCUUCCUUGUCCUAACCCUGCUGGUGGACAGAGGUAGAGACCCCUGUCCUGGCAGGGUUGGGUGUUGCAGGGCAGGCUGAGGGUGGCUAACCUACUGCCCUUAGGCCUUUGAAGGGUGCUGGGGAAAAUGGGGGCUGCCGAGUGUCCCCAUCAGCCAACUGAAAAGAAGGGGCUUGCAAUAGAGCAGGAGAGACAGGUGAACCACGAAGACCCCGCGCUGACCCUCAGGAGGGUUGAGUGCAGGGCGUGAAGCUGGGACAGACAGUGCGGCCUGCAGCCUGACCUCAUGGCUUAGCUGUGCCUCCUGGACACCAUCCCUCUCUGCAAUGGCGUGUGGUCCUGAGUCACUGACAGCACUGACCCGCUCCUCUGAGCACCAGCCCUGUUUCCUUUCCUCCCACCUCCUCUACUGUGUGCCAGGCUACGGGCUCCUCACAUCCCUGAACGGUCUUGCCCACUCCCACCCCACCAGCCAAGGCCAAGGCCAUCUCCUCUGGCCCAACUAAGUCUCCUAACCUGGAACCCCACCUCCUUCCCCCAGUCCAGGAGGAGCCCUCCUCCCAAUCCCAGGACUUCCCAGGUGGGCUCUCUGUGUGGGGGCUUAGCAAGCUGAGGGCUUUCCCUGCUCAGAUCAGAUCAUCAGGGAGCCUGACCAACCCACCCCAGCCUUGAGUGCCACCCAAAGGUCUGGCCUGUGGGAUCUGAGAUGCCAGGCAGCCCCUCGCCCUGCCAGAGCAGCACCGUGGAAGAACUCGUGAGUCUUUUAAGCUAGGCAUUGACCUAGCUGCAGCUUCCGGAAGGAGACAGCAGAGCCCCGCAUUAGCUCAGUGACUUGAGGCCAGGAAGCCAGGGGUGGGGCUAACCAAAGCUUGCCAGGCCGGGGUGGGAGCUACAGGUGAAGGAAAGUGAUUCUUUCUCCGUUAACUUUGUUUCACGCCAGAUACCUGGCAGUGGGCAAAGCAGAGCCUGGGCUGCAGAGCCUGUGCUCCGGAGCCUGGGCUCCAAAGCCCUGGGUUCCGGGCUCUGACUUAACUGCCAAAAAUACAAAAAUUAGC
rnacentral:lncRNA from 1 species